GUUUGAUCCUGGCUCAGAGCGAACGUUAGCGGCAGGCUUAACACAUGCAAGUCGAGCGACAAAGGGGCUUCGGCCCUGAGUAGAGCGGCGGACGGGUGCGUAACACGUGGAUAAUCUGCCUCGUGGCGGGGGAUAACAGUCCGAAAGGACUGCUAAUACCGCAUGUCAGGUCGGAAACCCCGGUUUCUGACGAAAAAGAGGGCGCCCGCAAGGGGCUCUCACCACGAGAUGAGUCCGCGGCCCAUCAGCUAGUUGGCGGUGUAAUAGACCACCAAGGCUAAGACGGGUAGCUGGUCUGAGAGGAUGACCAGCCACACUGGGACUGAGACACGGCCCAGACUCCUACGGGAGGCAGCAGUGGGGAAUAUUGGACAAUGGGCGAAAGCCUGAUCCAGCCAUGCCGCGUGAGUG
rnacentral:rRNA from 1 species